rnacentral:lncRNA from 1 species
CAACAUUCAUCAUCAGAAAAAUUAGGUUCAGCUGCAUUGGUAUCAUAUUCAUCGGAAUUGUCAUCCUCGUCGACAUAUUGGUCGUUCUCAUCUGUCUCUUCUGAAUCUGCCUUUUCUUCCUCCACCCUCGUUCUCUAUGCAGAAGAUCUAGUGGCCCUAAGAAGGUCAGCUGAUGUCCCUGAAGCAUCUAUAACCAUGUCCCAUGUCAAUUCUUCAUACCCCUCGACUCAUCAUCAUCAAC